UACGAAGGGAGCUAGCGUUGUUCGGAAUCACUGGGCGUAAAGCGCACGUAGGCGGAUUUGUCAGUCAGGGGUGAAAUCCUGGAGCUCAACUCCAGAACUGCCUUUGAUACUGGAGAGCUUGAGUCCGGAAGAGGUGAGUGGAACUCCGAGUGUAGAGGUGAAAUUCGUAGAUAUUCGGAAGAACACCAGUGGCGAAGGCGGCUCACUGGUCCGGUACUGACGCUGAGGUGCGAAAGCGUGGGGAGCAAACAGG
rnacentral:rRNA from 1 species